rnacentral:tRNA from 1 species
AUUGUUUUGGCAGAUUAGUGCAAUUGAUUUAGAAUCUUUUUAUGUAAGUUCUUACAAACAAUA